CCAAUAGCGUAUAUUAAAGUUGUUGCAGUUAAAAAGCUCGUAGUUGAAUUUCGGGAUCAGUACGCUGGUCAUGCCUUUGGUAUGCACUGGUGUCACUGGUUUCUCCCUUCUGAAGAUCCGUGAUGUCAUUAAUUUGGUGUCGCGGGGAAUCAGGACUGUUACUUUGAAAAAAUUAGAGUGUUUAAAGCAGGCUCACGCUUGAAUACAUUAGCAUGGAAUAAUGAAAUAGGACGUUUGACCCUAUUUUGUUGGUUUCUAGGAUCGACGUAAUGAUUAAUAGGGAUAGUUGGGGGCAUUAGUAUUCAAUUGUCAGAGGUGAAAUUCUUGGAUUUAUUGAAGACUAACUACUGCGAAAGCAUUUGCCAAGGAUGUUCUCAUUAAUCAAGAACGAAAGUUAGGGGAUCGAAGACGAUCAGAUACCGUCGUAGUCUUAACCAUAAACUAUGCCGACUAGGGAUCGGAUGAUGUUAAUUUUAUAAUGACUCAUUCGGCGCCUUACG
rnacentral:rRNA from 1 species